GCCGGAGUGGCGGAAUGGAAGACGCGCUACGUUCAGGGCGUAGUGUCCGCAAGGGCGUGGGAGUUCAACUCUCCCCUCCGGCACCA
rnacentral:tRNA from 1 species